rnacentral:rRNA from 1 species
AUGAACGCUGGCGGCGUGCCUAAUACAUGCAAGUCGAGCGCACAGACGAGGAGCUUGCUCCUCUGACGUUAGCGGCGGACGGGUGAGUAACACGUGGAUAACCUACCUAUAAGACUGGGAUAACUUCGGGAAACCGGAGCUAAUACCGGAUAAUAUAUUGAACCGCAUGGUUCAAUAGUGAAAGACGGUUUUGCUGUCACUUAUAGAUGGAUCCGCGCCGCAUUAGCUAGUUGGUAAGGUAACGCCUUACCAAGGCAACGAUGCGUAGCCGACCUGAGAGGGUGAUCGGCCACACUGGAACUGAGACACGGUCCAGACUCCUACGGGAGGCAGCAGUAGGGAAUCUUCCGCAAUGGGCGAAAGCCUGACGGAGCAACGCCGCGUGAGUGAUGAAGGUCUUCGGAUCGUAAAACUCUGUUAUUAGGGAAGAACAAAUGUGUAAGUAACUAUGCACGUCUUGACGGUACCUAAUCAGAAAGCCACGGCUAACUACGUG